rnacentral:rRNA from 1 species
AGCGAACGCUGGCGGCAGGCUUAACACAUGCAAGUCGAGCGGGCAUCUUCGGAUGUCAGCGGCAGACGGGUGAGUAACACGUGGGAACGUACCCUUCGGUUCGGAACAACUCUGGGAAACUGGAGCUAAUACCGGAUACGCCCUUAUGGGGAAAGGUUUACUGCCGAAGGAUCGGCCCGCGUCUGAUUAGCUAGUUGGUGGGGUAACGGCCUACCAAGGCGACGAUUAGUAGCUGGUCUGAGAGGAUGAUCAGCCACACUGGGACUGAGACACGGCCCAGACUCCUACGGGAGGCAGCAGUGGGGAAUAUUGGACAAUGGGCGCAAGCCUGAUCCAGCCAUGCCGCGUGAGUGAUGAAGGCCUUAGGGUUGUAAAGCUCUUUUGUCCGGGACGAUAAUGACGGUACCGGAAGAAUAAGCCCCGGCUAACUUCGUG